UACGUAGGGAGCAAGCGUUGUCCGGAAUCAUUGGGCGUAAAGCGCGCGUAGGUGGCUUCGUAAGUCCGUUGUGAAAGUCAAAGGCUCAACCUUUGAAAGCCGAUGGAUACUGCGGAGCUAGAGUACGGAAGAGGCGAGUGGAAUUCCUGGUGUAGCGGUGGAAUGCGCAGAUAUCAGGAGGAACACCAAUAGCGAAGGCAGCUCGCUGGGACGUUAUUGACACUGAGGCGCGAAAGCGUGGGGAGCGAACAGG
rnacentral:rRNA from 1 species